CCGAAUGUGGAGACCUCUGCCCCUUAUUCCUUUGGGGGUAGGGAUGCAACCAUAUCAUGCUAAAUCAAAAAGGGAGUUCUCAGGGCUGCCAACCUUACCGUUGAGGUUGAGUGGUAGUAUAUUUCUCCUGCAUUA
rnacentral:snoRNA from 1 species